AGUCGGAAAGGAUGAUCCAGGUCCCAUGGCCCCAACAUGAAACAAAAAUCUCACAAGGUGUUUCGUUGGACCUGAAAUCCCCUAUGACACGUAUUUUGCACUACAAAUAUUAGUAUUGCCACCGGAGAGAUAAUCUAGCCUAAGCUGCUAAGUUGGAGUCGGAAAGGAGAGGAGUGGUUGUCUUUGGAGGGUUAGUCGAGAUCUCUGAUGUGCGCACGAGUCAACACCUAAUCCUCAAGCU
rnacentral:lncRNA from 1 species